GAUGAACGCUGGCGGCGUGCCUAAUACAUGCAAGUCGAGCGGAGGAUCUAGCAAUAGGUCCUUAGCGGCGAACGGGUGAGUAACGCGUUGGUGACCUGCCUCGAAGAUUGGGAUAACAGUUCGAAAGGACUGCUAAUACCGGAUGUGAUCACGGGGAUUAGAUGCCCUGUGAUUAAAGGAGAAAUUCACUUCGAGAGGGGCCUGCGUCCCAUCAGCUAGUUGGUAGGGUAAAGGCCUACCAAGGCGAUGACGGGUAGGGGACCUGAGAGGGUGGCCCCCCACAAUGGAACUGAAACACGGUCCAUACACCUACGGGUGGCAG
rnacentral:rRNA from 1 species